GGCGAGAAGUUGCAUGCUGUAGACCCGAAACCGGGUGAUCUAUCCAUGUGCAGGUUGAAGCGAGAGUAAAAUCUCGUGGAGGACCGAACCUGUAUCUGUUGAAAAAGGUUAGGAUGACGUGUGGAUAGGGGUGAAAUUCCAAUCGAACUCGGAGAUAGCUGGUUCUCCUCGAAAUAGCUUUAGGGCUAGCCUCAAGAAAAGAUUAACGGAGGUAGAGCACUGAAUGUUUGCGGGACCUUCACCGGUUACCAAAAACUAUCAAACUCCGAAUGCCGUAUAAUUAUACUUGGGAGUCAGACUAUGUGAGAUAAGUUUCAUAGUCGAAAGGGAAACAGCCCAGACCUACAGCUAAGGUCCCAAAAUAUAAGUUAAGUGGAAAAGGAUGUGAAGUUGCACAAACAGCUAGGAUGUUGGCUUAGAAGCAGCCAUACAUUUAAAGAGUGCGUAACAGCUCACUAGUCGAGUGAUUUUGCGCCGAAGAUAAACGGGGCUAAAACUUAUUACCGAAGCUUGGGAAUUUAAAAUAAAUUGGUAGAGGAGCGUCCUAUGUGGGUUGAAGUUGUGCCGGAAGGCAUGGUGGACUGCAUAGGAGUGAGAAUGUUGGCAUGAGUAGCGAGAGACAGGUGAGAAUCCUGUCGGCCGAAAAUCUAAGGUUUCCUGAGCAAGGUUCGUCCGCUCAGGGUUAGUCGGGACCUAAGCUGAGGGCGAAAGCCAUAGGCGAUGGACAACAGGUUGAUAUUCCUGUACCACCGAUAGUCGUUAAGAGUGAAGUGGGGACACAGAAGGAUAGGUUAAGCGUGCCGUUGGUAGAGCACGUACAAGCGUUAAGGUAGUUGCAGCAGGCAAAUCCACUGCAAUAAUACUGAGGCGUUAUGUGGAGGGAAAUUAAGUACCGGAAGUAACUGAUUUCAUGCUGUCAAGAAAAUCCGCUAGCAAGACUAAAGGUGCCCGUACCGCAAACCGACACAGGUAGAUGAGGAGAGAAUCCUAAGGCCAGCGAGAUAACUAUUGUUAAGGAACUCGGCAAAAUAACCCCGUAACUUUGGGAGAAGGGGUACCUACGCAAGUAGGUCGCAGUGAAUAGGCCCAGGCGACUGUUUAGCAAAAACACAGGUCUCUGCAAAAGCGAAAGCUGAAGUAUAGGGGCUGACGCCUGCCCAGUGCUGGAAGGUUAAGGUGAAGUGUAAGGGUAACCGAAGCACAGAACUUAAGCCCCAGUAAACGGCGGCCGUAACUAUAACGGUCCUAAGGUAGCGAAAUUCCUUGUCAGGUAAGUUCUGACCCGCACGAAAGGCGUAACGAUCUGGGCGCUGUCUCAACAAUAGACUCGGUGAAAUUGUAGUACCGGUAAAGAUGCCGGUUACCCGCAGCAGGACGGAAAGACCCCGUGGAGCUUUACUGUAACUUGAUAUUGAGUUUCGGUGUUAUGCGUACAGGAUAGGUGGGAGACUAAGAAUCUGGAGCGCCAGUUUUAGAGGAGUCAAUGUUGGGAUACCACCCUUGUAGCAUUGGAAUUCUAACCCGGUAGCAUCAUCUGCUACGGGGACAGUGUCUGGUGGACAGUUUGACUGGGGCGGUCGCCUCCUAAAGAGUAACGGAGGCGCCCAAAGGUUCCCUCAGCGCGGACGGAAAUCGCGCAUAGAGUGCAAAGGCAGAAGGGAGCUUGACUGCGAGACCAACAAGUCGAGCAGGGACGAAAGUCGGGCUUAGUGAUCCGGUGGCAUCCGAGUGGAAGGGCCAUCGCUCAACGGAUAAAAGCUACCCCGGGGAUAACAGGCUGAUACCGCCCAAGAGUUCACAUCGACGGCGGUGUUUGGCACCUCGAUGUCGGCUCGUCUCAUCCUGGGGCUGGAGUAGGUCCCAAGGGUUGGGCUGUUCGCCCAUUAAAGAGGUACGCGAGCUGGGUUCAGAACGUCGGGAGACAGUUCGGUCCCUAUCCGCUGUGGGCGUUGGAAAUUUGAGUGGAGCUGUUCCUAGUACGAGAGGACCGGAAUGGACAUACCUAUGGUGUACCGGUUGUUCUGCCAAGGGCAUAGCCGGGUAGCUAAGUAUGGAAAGGAUAAGCGCUGAAAGCAUCUAAGUGCGAAGCCAACCACAAGAUAAGAUUUCCUCCAGCAAUGGUAAGACCCGUGAGAGACUAUCACGUUGAUAGGUCGGAGGUGUAAGUGCAGUAAUGUAUUUAGCUGACCGAUACUAAUAGGUCGAACGCUUGACCAA
rnacentral:rRNA from 1 species